CCUACGGGAGGCAGCAGUGAGGAAUAUUGGUCAAUGGACGAGAGUCUGAACCAGCCAAGUAGCGUGAAGGAUGACUGCCCUAUGGGUUGUAAACUUCUUUUAUAUGGGAAUAAAAUGUUCCACGUGUGGGAUUUUGUAUGUACCAUAUGAAUAAGGAUCGGCUAACUCCGUGCCAGCAGCCGCGGUAAU
rnacentral:rRNA from 1 species